rnacentral:rRNA from 1 species
UACGUAGGGUGCAAGCGUUUAAUCGGAAUUACUGGGCGUAAAGCGUACGCAGGCGGCUGUGUAAGACAGGUGUGAAAUCCCCGGGCCUAACCUGGGAACUGCAUUUGUGACUGCAUAGCUAGAGUCUGUCAGAGGGGGGUGGAAUUCCACGUGUAGCAGUGAAAUGCGUAGAGAUGUGGAGGAACACCGAUGGCGAAGGCAGCCCCCUGGUUGGAUACUGACGCUGAGACGCGAAAGCGUGGGGAGCAAACAGG